GUGCUUGCUUUGGCAGCAUGUGUACUAAAAUUGGAAUGAUACAGAGAAGAUUAGCGGGGCCCUGCACAAGGAUGACAUGCAAAUUUGUGAAGUGUUCUAUAUUUUC
ensembl:snRNA U6 U6 spliceosomal RNA